CUCUUAACUAACUAUCAAUGGACGUUCUGAUAUCAAAACAUUGACUGGCUUCGACUCUGCCUUUUUAGCUGAAUGCAAACUCGGUGAGGGGACGCAUCGACGGAAACAGAAUCCAGUGUACGUUCGCAGCCACUAUCCCCGAUGCGACAGUCAGAAUGACGCCGUCUACCUUUUCGUUAGCUCUUGUCACCGGAGCAUUCAACCCCGCCACCGAUGUUCUGGGAGCUCCCGAGGCCAGAGUCCAGACAGAAAUGUUGGAGCUGGGCAACCCCAACUCCAAUAGCACCAACGUCAUCACCUCCGCCGGCGGCAGGCCAACCUACCAGGCACUGUCACAAGCUCUGCUCAUCAUCCUAGGGACCGUGAGCCUGACCUUGCUAUAAAGGAGCUUUCAGAAGAUCAAAAAGUGGCAAAAACCUACAUUACAUAUAAUUAACUACAUAAAAAAAAUAUGUACAAUUUGUAAAAUACUUUUCAAUCCUCUCUCUUCGUUGAAUGAUGCCAGUGGAUGGCAGAAACAAAUAUUCUAUUUAAUUAGCCCUGAAUAUAAUUUUUGGGUAAAAAAAUGUAUUAUAUAAUUAUAUAUUAAACACCAAUAUUUAUUGGUAUAUUUACUGGUAAUUAUGGAAUGCAUUAAUUCAGUCUAGAAGUGAUGAAAUGAUUCUAGUCACUAAUUGUAGUUAGUUAUUUAAAAAGAAACAUUCAAGGGACAUCUCAAAAUAAAGUAGCCUAGUCCUUUUAGAUAGUCCUUCUGGCAAGAGAAUAAACAGUUUAAAACAUAACCAGACUGUUUACCAGCUCAAGUGAAUUAACUUAUCCUAUCACCAGUCAGAUCUAUAUAUAUAUAUAUAUAUAUAUAUAUAUAUAUAUAUAUAUAUAUAUAUAUAUAUAUAUAUAUGUAUAUAAGAGGGCACUUUUGACUCAAGAGGGCACUUUUGACAUUCAGAGGCAAAGGCAAAGAGGCUCAGGCACCCAUAGCCCCCCCUCCCCCCCCCCCACGUGCCUGUAUUUAUGUAUAUAUUUAACUUGAAUGGAACUUCAGAUUUUUGGGGAUAAGCAGCGCAGCAGUCAGGUAGCUAUAUAAAGCUAUAAUAAGCUGCUUAUUUUGUUUGUUUAGUUAAAGCAUUAUGAAAAUAUUUGCAUGCAUAAUAAAGCAUCAAACAUUCUAGCAUUUUCCUUUUCCCUCUGUGCUAAACGCUGGAUUUUUAUGAGACCUAGAAUCGCUCCCUGUGGUGAGAUCCGUUUCUUAAUGCACUUUGUUGCACCAACUAAUAUGUUUUGUUUUGUUUGUUAAAUAAAAUAUAUCUAUACCAGUCAACUUGAUUCUCUUCUUGCGUACACAGUAAAAUAAAGCCUUUGGAGAAAUAUGGUCGGAAACUGUAAUGCAAACAUGCUUUUCCUCAUUUCUGGUCAUUACAUUAUGGUAUGGCUUACAUUGGAUUAUUAUUUUUGCUAAACCACGGUAAAUUAAGGAGUUGACUUCCUCCAGUGGUUGGUGGUUAACCGUCAAGCUGGCCAGCGUCUUUGUAUUGGCCUUGAGCACUUUGGUCUUCUAUAUGCUAAUGUCUCUACUACCAGUCUCAUCUGCCUUCUGUUCUACCUCUCUCGAUUUCUCUUGCAUUUUUUGGUGGUUUUGGGACAGUAAUGCAACAUCAUCUGCGAAGUCUAGGUCAUCAAGUUGUGUAAACAGGGACCAAUGGAUUCCAUUGUGCCUGUUUUGUUUAUUUAAGUAAAGCAUUAUGAAAACAUUUGCCUGCACAUUAAAGCAUAAAACAUUUUUGCAUUUUCCUUUUCCCUUUUUAUGAAACCUAGAAAUGCUCCAGGUGGUACGAUCCGUUUGUUAUUGCACUUUGUUGCAC
ensembl:lncRNA